UUUUGGACCACUCCUCUUUAUAAAACUGUUUCAGUUCAGUAAUAUUCUGGGGGUGUCUGAUGUGAACCGCUCUCGAGGUCAUUCCACAGCAUCUCAAUCGGGUUGAGGUCAGGACUCUGACUGGGCCACUCAGGUUGAGGUCAGGACUCUGACUGGGCCACUCAGGUUGAGGUCAGGACUCUGACUGGGCCACUCAGGUUGAGGUCAGGACUCUGACUGGGCCACUCAGGUUGAGGUCAGGACUCUGACUGGGCCACUCAGGUUGAGGUCAGGACUCUGACUGGGCCACUCAGGUUGAGGUCAGGACUCUGACUGGGCCACUCAGGUUGAGGUCAGGACUCUGACUGGGCCACUCAGGUUGAGGUCAGGACUCUGACUGGGCCACUCAGGUUGAGGUCAGGACUCUGAUUGGGCCACUCCAGAAGGGUAUUUUCUUCUAUUGAAGCCAUU